UACAGAGGUCUCAAGCGUUGUUCGGAUUCAUUGGGCGUAAAGGGUGCGUAGGUGGCGAGGCAAGUCAGAUGUGAAAUCCCAGGGCUCAACCCUGGAACUGCAUUUGAUACUGCCCUGCUUGAGUACUGGAGAGGAGAUUGGAAUUACGGUGUAGCAGUGAAAUGCGUAGAUAUCGUAAGGAAGACCAGUGGCGAAGGCGAAUCUCUGGACAGUUACUGACACUGAGGCACGGAAGGCCAAGGG
rnacentral:rRNA from 1 species